GGUUUAUACCCAGUAUCUCAAGGUACGCUUGGGCUUCUGACCAGAUAUCCUCUGUGUUAGAGAACCAACAGUUUUUGGGCAGCACUGAAGGGGUCUCCCGAGUGCAAUAA
rnacentral:sRNA from 1 species